UUUUUUUUUUUUUUUUUUUUUUAAACCAUUCAUUAAUUGAUGCACUGCUAUGAAAAUAUCCCCCUUGAAAUUACAAUUUAAUGACUGUUCCGAUCAUUAUGUAUGGAUAAAAAGAAUAAUUUAUUAAUAUUUGCGUAUCACUUUAUCCAAUAGUUAAUGAUAGUGUCGACUACAGUGUCUGGUAAAAUAGCCUUACAAAUUUUCUUUUUUGGUCCUUUUUGGUUCUGGUUAUUCUGAAAAUUAUUUCUGCCAAAAAAACUUUCACCUUCAUUGUCCAUUCUUCCUGGUCAGAUUUUUCAAUAAUAUGAUUAAGGUUAUUCCUGAUUUUAGUUUUAUUAAAAAAGACUUUAUCAAGUGACUAGUUUGUGUAAAAUAUGAUAAAAAAAAAGGUUCUUAUUUGGAAAUAAAUUAUGUGUUGAUUUGUUUUGCACUGUUGGAACAUGCUAUUAUUACAAUGAGAUUAAACAAAAUAAAACAAUGUAAAC